CCUUCGGGCCUUGCGCUAUCAGAUGAGCCUAGGUCGGAUUAGCUAGUUGGUGAGGUAAUGGCUCACCAAGGCGACGAUCCGUAACUGGUCUGAGAGGAUGAUCAGUCACACUGGAACUGAGACACGGUCCAGACUCCUACGGGAGGCAGCAGUGGGGAAUAUUGGACAAUGGGCGAAAGCCUGAUCCAGCCAUGCCGCGUGUGUGAAGAAGGUCUUCGGAUUGUAAAGCACUUUAAGUUGGGAGGAAGGGUUGCUGAUUAAUACUCUGCAAUUUUGACGUUACCGACAGAAUAAGCACCGGCUAACUCUGUGCCAGCAGCCGCGGUAAUACAGAGGGUGCAAGCGUUAAUCGGAAUUACUGGGCGUAAAGCGCGCGUAGGUGGUUUGUUAAGUUGGAUGUGAAAGCCCCGGGCUCAACCUGGGAACUGCAUCCAAAACUGGCAAGCUAGAGUAGGGCAGAGGGUGGUGGAAUUUCCUGUGUAGCGGUGAAAUGCGUAGAUAUAGGAAGGAACACCAGUGGCGAAGGCGACCACCUGGGCUCAUACUGACACUGA
rnacentral:rRNA from 1 species